rnacentral:lncRNA from 1 species
UUUUAAUAUAAUCUUAUUUUUCUACACAAAAAAGUAGAAGUAAUUUUGUGUAUUUUUAAUUGCAAAAUAUUUAAAUUCAUUUAUAUAAUUAGCUGCAUCUAUAGUUAAUAUAGUUUAGUUUGUUCUGUUUUUGAAAUACUCCCUAGAACAACUUUUUAAUUAUAAGGAAAAAUGGUUAAAAACAAAAAAGAGAGCUAACAAAUAUUUUAGGCAAGUAUUAAAAAUAAAAAAGAAGAGUGAGACGAGAUAACUACAUUUUGGUUAAAGAUGAGGAGAGAGAAAAUAGAUGAAUAUAUAAAUGAAAGGGUGUUUUGGACAUUUGAUAACAUAUUUAAUUAACAAUAAUUAAGUUUCGUCGUCGUAUGUACCGGUCAUUAGUACUGUAUUAAUUGUGGACCAUUGGAUAUUUUAAAACUAAUUGUGGACCAUUGGAUAUUUUAAAACGGAUCUGAUAGUUAAGAUUAAAUCCUCAUUAUCUCACUCCAAUUAUUUAUCCAACCAAAUUCACCCCAUCAAACCCACAGCCACAAAACCAGUAAACUCCAUCGGAUUUUCUCAAUUCUUUUCAUAUACUUACCACGGUUGCUGCUGUGCUUGAAACAGUAACAAUCCCUCGGGCUUCCAGUCCUCUGACGGCGGCCUCCUUUCCUCCAAUCGUCAGUUCUUCCGUUUUUGCGCUGUCCGGUGGCCGGAGAUAAAUCGUCAGUUCAUGUUGUUGUAUAUUUUCAUCUUGUUGUAUAUUUUCAUAUUUACCCAACCACAAAACAAAUCAAACCUUAACAAACUAAUAACUGAUUUUCUUGAGCUAGCAGAUAGAAUAAAUUAUAUAUACAUAUAACGGAACAGUACUUACCAUCUGAAGUAACAAUGUGGGCGAGUGAGGAGAUUAAAUCCUAUAAUAGGGAUUAGGAAAGUGUGAGCUUUUGGGUGGUGACCGCCACCGGUGACGAUAAGGAUUGGAUAUAUGCGUACCUAGUUUUUUCUUUAGGUCAAGAAAUUGAAGCCUCUCUCUCUCCGGAAGAUUACAACGGCCAACAAAAUUACAAAAAUCAACUAGUCAAUUGCAUUCAAAAAUUGUAUUUCUCCCCAGAUUUAUUUUGUUUAGUAACCCUCUCUUCUUAAUGACCGCAACCCUGUUGUAAGAUCUCAAUUCUCCCCCUCUUUAUCUCCGGCCACCGGACACCGCAAAAAUAGAAGAACUGACGAUUGGAUAUACAACAAGAUGAAAAUAUGCAUGUUGUAUAUGCGAAAUGUUGAAUAUGAUAAUAGACUUACUGAAAAAAGUAUUCAGCCGACGGCAAGCUGGCAAAUUCAUGUUAUUUUUAUAACAAUAGUACUAAUAUUUUAUCUUUUUUUUGGGUUAUAAUUGAGAAAUAAAUAAAGGGUAAAAAAAACUUUAAAUAAAGAAAUAAAAAAGGCACGCCACUAUUGUCAAAAUCGGAAGGCAACGCGUGAGAAUGGGGAAAUUCAUUUCCACACUGACCACGAACGACUCGCCUGCGCCUUCCUAAACUAAAUUUGACUUUCCACAACAAAAUCAAAUCUUUUCUCUUUCUCUCUCCUUAAUUUCUUCUUCUGUGGGAGGGAAGAGAUUUGCGACGAUUUCAAGGCAGGAUGCAGAAGAUUAAUAAUAAGCAAGAUCAUCGGUCGAGAUCUGCCAAGCCAACCACCAUUCACGGCUGCGCUCAGUCUGGGGAUUUGGCCGGCUUCCAGAAGCUACUUAGGGACAACCCCUCUCUUCUUAAUGACCGCAACCCUGUUGUAAGAUCUCAAUUCUCCCCCUCUUUAUUUUCGUGUGAAUUUUGUUUAAUUAAAGAAACCCAUUUCGUUUAUGAUUUUAUUUUCGAAUUUUCAAUGUUUUGAGGACCAUUCAAGAGGUAAGUUUCAAGAUUUCUUUUUUAGAAUACACUACUCAAAACGAGAAGAAACCCAAAACGAGAUCACAGCCAUGAUUGUAAUUAAAUACACUACUCAAAACCCAAUUUGAUCAACAUUCAAAUAAUAAUAAUAAAUUUAAAAAAAAAAAAGAAAGAGAGGAACAAAUACCAAUUCUGGAUAUGGGUAUGCAAGAAAUCGGAAUGCAAAGGCCAAAUUUCUGAGGGAAAUCGGAAAAUCCCAAAGGCCUCGAUUGAAUUGAAACGGCAGGGUAGCAGGUUUUGUUGGCUGGUGAUGAUGGAGACACGCGAAGGAGAGUGAGUUGCUACCCAUCAGUCUGUACUACCCCGCAACUCUUACACUACUAUCUCGCUGCUAAUCGGAAGAGCAACAGUCGUUUUCACAACCAAACUCCUUUUUCUUGAAUGUUUAAUCUUAACCAUUAGAUCAAUUUUAAAAUAUCUAAUGGUCCACAAUUAAUACAGUACUAAUGACCGGUACAUAAAGUACCGGUCCUCCCCCAAUCCGUGUUCAAGAUAUUCCGUUUGGGAUAAGGUCCAAAAAUGUCUCUGAUAUUUUUUUCAAUGUCUAUCGAGCAUCAUAUAUUUUUUUUUUGUCCAAAAAUAUCCUUAACGGUAUAAUUUUUAGGUCAUUCGUGCCCCUGCCGUUAACAACUCUGCCAACUAGAUAAACGGGUGUUAAAUCCUCUAUGACGUGGCUGACACGUGUCAAUAUUUGCUGACAUGGCAAUAUUUGUUGAUAUUUAUUUUGUUUAUUAAUUAUUUAUUUUGUUUUAAAGAAAAAUAAAAUAAAUAAUUAAUAAACAAAAUUAAUAUUUAUAUUUAAUAAACAAAAUAAAUAUUUAUAUUUAUAUUUAAUUCAUUAAUACAUAUAACAAAAAUUCGUCCUCUUAAAUUAAUCAAU